GACGAACGCUGGCGGCGUGCUUAACACAUGCAAGUCGAACGAGAGGCGAACGGGUGAGUAACACGUGUGUGAACUGCCUUGCACUUCGGGAUAAGCUAGGGAAAAUGGGUCUAAUAACGGAUUGUGCAAGAUGGGCGCGCGGGCUAUCAGCUUGUUGGGGGGGUAAUGGCUACCCAGGCGCGAGGGGUAGACGGCCUGUGAGGGUGUACGGCGUCAUGUGUACUGAGAGAGGGCGCAGACGCCAACGGGAGGCAGCGGGGGGGAGUAUUACACAAUGAGGGGAAGCCUGAUGAGACGGCGCGGGGGGGGGAAUGAAGGCCUACGGGUGGUGAACUCCUUUCGACAGAGACGCGGUACCUGUAUAAGAAGCACCGGCUAACUACGUGCCAGCAGCCGCGGUAAUAC
rnacentral:rRNA from 1 species